UNUAAAUCAAGAUGAAGUUCAUGCCAAGCCU
rnacentral:piRNA from 1 species